CAAGAGCGUAUAUUAAAGUUGCUGCGGUUAAAAAGCUCGUAGUUGGAUUUCAGUCUAGGAAGGUUAACUCGCCGAAAGGUUGUACGGUGAUUUUCCUCAGACUUCGUCAGAAGCUCGUGCUGCACUUAACUGUGUGGUACGAUGUUCUGACCUUUUACCUUGAGGAAAGUAGAGUGUUUCAGGCAGGCUACCCAGCUUGAAUACAUUAGCAUGGAAUAAUGAAAUGGAUCUCGGUUCGAUUUCGUUGGUUCUAGAGCUGAGGUGAUGAUCAAUAGGAACAGGCGAAGGUAUUCGUACUUGAGAGUGAGGAGUGAAAUCCGAUGAUCUCUUAAAGACGAUCCGAGGCGAAAGCAUUUGUCAAGGAUGUUUUCAUUGA
rnacentral:rRNA from 1 species